GCGCCGCUCGGCCCGCCCCCACGGUGGCCGAGGCCCCGGACAUGCGCAGAAGGUGCUUUCCGCCUUCGCCGCCGUGGUGGCGUCUUCUCCGCAGGUGGCGGGUUUAGGGCGGUGGGAACACUCGCCCGCGUGGGAACGCACGCUGAGCAGUGCUCUUUUCCUCCACACUGGGCAGGGCCGCUUCUGGAUCUUUCUCCGCUGCAGCCGGGCGACGUGGUCCUGCUGGUACCUGCUGGGCUCUUAGUAAGCGUUCCUGCAAGAGGUGGGUGGGGGUGAGCCUGCACUUGUCCGGGGUGGCUCAGAGUUCAGGCGCUGGAAGGGAGCCCCCGCAGCUUCCCCUCGGAGGUCGGCCCCAGGCGCCGCAAGUCUCUCCCACCGCCAGAGAUAGCUCUUUGCCCGUGUUCUUCUGUUCAUGGAGUUCGAACAAGGUUAUGGUCAUCCCAACUUGCAGCACAAUACCUGGCAAGAAGUCAGUGCUCAAUCAAUAUUUGCUAAGUACAUGAAUGGAACGAGUAACUGUCUUAAAGGAGCAGCUACUGUUACAGAAGAGUGAAGGCGUAGGAAACUUGGAGAAUGCUGGCCCUGACCCCACCUCCUGUAUGACUCAAGGAUGAAUUUAUACCCAAAAUCAAAGGCAGCUGCUGUAUUCACGGAGGGGUUGCUGCUGGGCAGUAACCACAGUGGAAGCAGGAGACUUCCCAAGGUUUCUGAAAAUGAAUCUGUGAACAUCUUUAUUAGACUAAUCUAGUUGGCACAGUGGAAGUCCAUAUGCGUGGUCUGGGGUGUUUUUCAAGCAUGCCAGUGAGGUUACGGUUUCUCUCCUGGGCAGGAUAGUAAUACUAGGACCAUAGAGAUCCUAGGCAGGGGCCAGUCAUCACUAGGCUCGUGAAUAAAUUCAACUUCCUUUACAGUCGUCAUUUACAUCUUAGAAAAUACUCCAUGACACACAUUCUAACAUAAAAUUAACUAUAAUACACCUAUUUGAACUGACCUUGAAGUUUGCCUUCGUGUUAUAAGUUACAACCUAGAGAAGUAAGUACAAUUUUUGAAAAACCGUGGAGACUGAAUAACAGAGAUUUAAGGGAUUUUAUGCAUUAUAUCACAAGAUGCGGAGCAUGCAUAAAUGAAAACUUACAGAACUGUGCUUGAUCAUCAGACGUAAACACAGCCUAGUCAUUCUGAUCUUUUUGAGGUGAUGAACCAUGUGCCUCACGCUCUGAAUUCUUGCAGUACUUGUGCCAACAAGAUUUAUUUGCCUAAAGAUCUUUUUCUCAGCAAAGUCCAGGAUAACCCAAGCCUUUUCUUUGUAAUUUUAAUCCAGUCUGAGUUGAAAUGGUGUUAAGCUUAUUUUUAUUUUCACAACUUUCCCUUUUGUGGCCCCUCUGGUGCUACUUCAGUUCAUCUUGUGUGGGCUAUCAGAUGUUAAUGCAGGUCCAUGAACGUGUUGUCUGAGGCCUCUUUACCCGUCAUUACUCUUACAUAUAUGUGUAAACUAUUUCAGCAUUAAUAUGAUGUGUUGAUAUUUUACUAUCUAAUGUUCUUAGUAUAUUACCCCAAACCCACAACUCAAAUUUCAGUUCUGUAUAAUUUGGGGUUUUUUUUAAUUUGUUAAUGUAGCUACUAAAGUUGUAACCAAGUUUUUACCUCUCUGAAAUUUACAAAACGAUGAGGGCAUAUUCAUCGUUUACAGCUUGGAUAAAAUUGGAGAGCCCUUAGGUUUUGUCCCAUUUCCCUUGGUGAUUUUCUCGAAGGAGUCAGCUGUGUUGAUAGUAGCUGUAGUUAGUAACUGUUUUAGUAACUGUAUCCAUUUUCUGUUGUCAUAAUAAUACAUAGUAAAUACAUAACAAGUACUAUAUAACAACAAAUUGUGUAGCCUAAAACAGUAAUAAUUUACUUAGCUCACAAUUCUGCGGGUUGGCCAUUUGGGCUGGUCUUAGUUGGCUGUCUUUGCUCAUGUGUCUGUGGCCUGCCACCUGGUUGGAAGAGAACUAGCCAGUCUAGGAUGGCCUGGGACAACUUGUCUCCACUCCAUGUCAUCCUCCAGGAGGGUACUGGGGCUUACCUACAUGGUAGGCACAGUCAGGAAAAAACCCACGGGACUUGUGAGGUCCAGGUGUGGAACCAGUGUACUGUUUCUUCUGACACACCCUAUUGGCCAACGCAAGACACAAGGGCAACAAGAUCCAAAGGUGGGGGAAAUAAACCCCCUCUUGGUGAAAGGAGCAUCAAAGUUGCAUUACAGAGGGCCUGGGUAAAGGGAGGGGUGGAGAAUUGAGGCCAUUUUUGUGGUCAAAUCUACUACAAUCCAUCCUUUGGCCCCAAUUAUUCACAUUUCUCCACCAAAAAAAAACCUCACUUCCUCCCAAGAUCCCCAGAAGUCUCACCCAAUCCCAGUACCAGGCUCAAAGUGCAGGGUCUCAUGAUCUAUACUAGGUUGAAUGUGGCUCCUCAGGUGCGGUUCCUCUUGAUCCACAGAUGGAUAAACUAAAAAUAUCAAUUGUCUGCCCCCCACACAGCAUACACUGGUCAAAGGGGAAAGGACCACCACAGUGAAUACUUCCAUUUGAAAAGGAAAAGAAUGGGGGUCCCUGGGUGGCACAGUCGGUUAGGCGUCCGACUCUUGGUUUCGGCUCAGGUUGUGAUCUCAGGGUGGUAGGAUCAAGCCCCGCGUUGGACUCCACACUCAGCAUGGAGUCUGCUUGGGAUUCUCUCUCCCUCUCCCUCUGCCACUCCAGCCUGUGCACGCACGCGCUCUCUCUCUAAAAAAAAUAAAUAGAUCUUUAGAAGAAAAGAAAAAAGGAAGAAUGGGUGCACAGAGCAAUCACUGGUGCAGAGCAAUUCCUAAAUCCAUAGGGAGAAUGUUCACAGGACCAUAGGACAAGGGAGUGCUCCCCGAUGAGGCUGAGUUCUGCCUGCUGGGAAUAUUCCCCAGGCUGUACCCCAGCGCGACUCUUACCUCUGCCCUCCUGGAGAUCCCUCCUUUUCCAGCGCCUCUU